UUUGAUCAUGGCUCAGAUUGAACGCUGGCGGCAGGCCUAACACAUGCAAGUCGAGCGGAAACGAGUUAUCUGAACCUUCGGGGAACGAUAACGGCGUCGAGCGGCGGACGGGUGAGUAAUGCCUAGGAAAUUGCCCUGAUGUGGGGGAUAACCAUUGGAAACGAUGGCUAAUACCGCAUAAUGCCUUCGGGCCAAAGAGGGGGACCUUCGGGCCUCUCGCGUCAGGAUAUGCCUAGGUGGGAUUAGCUAGUUGGUGAGGUAAAGGCUCACCAAGGCGACGAUCCCUAGCUGGUCUGAGAGGAUGAUCAGCCACACUGGAACUGAGACACGGUCCAGACUCGUACGGGAGGCAGCAGUGGGGAAUAUUGCACAAUGGGCGCAAGCCUGAUGCAGCCAUGCCGCGUGUGUGAAGAAGGCCUUCGGGUUGUAAAGCACUUUCAGUCGUGAGGAAGGCGGUACAGUUAAUAGCUGUAUUGCUUGACGUUAGCGACAGAAGAAGCACCGGCUAACUCCGUGCCAGCAGCCGCGGUAAUACGGAGGGUGCGAGCGUUAAUCGGAAUUACUGGGCGUAAAGCGCAUGCAGGUGGUUUGUUAAGUCAGAUGUGAAAGCCCGGGGCUCAACCUCGGAACAGCAUUUGAAACUGGCAGACUAGAGUACUGUAGAGGGGGGUAGAAUUUCA
rnacentral:rRNA from 1 species